UCUUGGUCCNNUUAGAGGAAGUAAAAGUCGUAACAAGGUUUCCGUAGGUGAACCUGCGGAAGGAUCAUUAUUGAAAAGCUUGGUUAGGUUGUUGCUGGCUCUUUGGGGCAUGUGCACGCCUGAUACCAAUUUUCUACCACCUGUGCACCUUUUGUAGACUUGGAAUACUUCUCGAGGCAACUCGGUUUGAGGAUUGCUAUCAGCUUUCUUUGCAAUUCCAGUCUAUGUCUUGUAUAUAUACCCCUAUAGUAUGUCCCUGAAUGUGUUUUCAAUGGGCUUCUAUGCCUUUAAAACCUAUACAACUUUCAACAACGGAUCUCUUGGCUCUCGCAUCGAUGAAGAACGCAGCGAAAUGCGAUAAGUAAUGUGAAUUGCAGAAUUCAGUGAAUCAUCGAAUCUUUGAACGCACCUUGCGCUCCUUGGUAUUCCGAGGAGCAUGCCUGUUUGAGUGUCAUGAAAUUCUCAACCUUUUUAGCCUUUUUGGUUGAUUAGGCUUGGAUUGUGGGGGUCUGCGGGCUUCUGAAGAAGUCGGCUCUCCUUAAAUGUAUUAGCAGGGACCUUUCUGUUGCCUAGCAUUGGUGUGAUAAUUAUCGACGCCAUUGACCAAGCAGCUAUUAAAUGAGGGUUUCAGCUUCUAACUGGUCUCCUUCAGGGGGACAAUUUUUGACAAUUUGACCUCAAAUCAGGUAGGACYMCCCGCUGAACUUAAGCAUAUCAAUAAGCGGAGGAAAAGAAACUAACAAGGAUUCCCCUAGUAACUGCGAGUGAAGCGGGAAAAGCUCAAAUUUAAAAUCUGAGGGUCCCUGUUGGCCUUCCGAGUUGUAAUCUAGAGAAGUGUUAUCCGCGCUGGACCGUGUACAAGUCUCCUGGAACGGAGCGUCAUAGAGG
rnacentral:rRNA from 1 species